rnacentral:misc_RNA from 1 species
AACAUCGCGCACCUGCGGGAACCUGCGGAAGGAUCAUUACCGAGUUUACAACUCCCAAACCCCUGUGAACAUACCUAUACGUUGCCUCGGCGGAUCAGCCCGCGCCCCGUAAAAAGGGACGGCCCGCCCGAGGACCCCUAAACUCUGUUUUUAGUGGAACUUCUGAGUAAAACAAACAAAUAAAUCAAAACUUUUAGCAAUGGAUCU